rnacentral:tRNA from 1 species
GGGGUUGUAGCUCAGUGGUAGAGUACUCACCUAGCAUGUGGGAGGCACUGGGCUUGAUCCUCAGCACCACUU